GAGGAUACAAUGGCGCAUCGUUUAAGAAAAUUUCCAGAGUGGUUUAUGUUCGAAAAUCUGAUGUUACGGUUAAAAAACUGAAACUUUUAUUGUGAAAUUGACAAAAUGAGAUUAGGGGGUAGGGCAAUUUAAGUUAAUUUUGGAUCAAUUUCAAGAGAUUGUGACGGGCAACGACUAUAAAGGUGUUGUAGAGGAGACAAUGGCGUAUCGUUUAGGAAAAUCUCCAGAGUGGUUUAAGUUCGAAAAUCUGAAGUUACGGUUAAAAAACUGUAAAUUUUAUUGUGAAAUUGACAAAAUGAGAUUAGGGGGUAGGGCAAUUUAAGUUUAUUUUGGACCAAUUUCAAGAGAUUGUGACGGGCAACGACUAUAUAGGUGUUGUAGAGGAGACAAUGGUGCAUCGUUUAGGAAAAUCUCCAGAGUGGUUUAUGUUCGAAAAUCUGAAGUUACGGUUAAAAAACUGAAAAUUUUAUUGUGAAAUUGACAAAAUGAGAUUAGGGGGUAGGGCACUAAAAGAAAAAUUUGGACCGUUUUAACGAGAUUGUGACGGGCAACGACUACAUAGGUGUUGUAGAGGAGACAUUGGCGCAUCGUUUAAGAAAAUCUCCAGAGUGGUUUAUGUUCGAAAAUCUGAAGUUACGGUUAAAAUACUGAAAUUGUGAAAUUGACAAAAUGAGAUUACGGGGGAAGGCCAAUUCAAGUUAAUUUUGGACCAAUUUACAGAGAUUGUGACGGGCAACGACUAAAUAGGUGUUGUAGAGGAGACAAUGGCGCAUCGUUUAAGAAAAUUUCCAGAGUGGUUUAUGUUCGAAAAUCUGAUGUUACGGUUAAAAAACUGAAACUUUUUUUGCGAAAUUGACAAAAUGAGAUUAGGGGGUAUGGCAAUUUAAGUUAAUUUUGGACCAAUUUCAAGAGAUUGUGACGGACAACGACUAUAAAGGUGUUGUAAAGGAGACAAUGGCGCAUUGUUUAGGAAAAUCUCCAGAGUGGUUUAUGUUCGAAAAUCUGAAGUUACGGUUAAAAAACUGAAAAUUUUAUUGUGAAAUUGACAAAAUGAGAUUAGGGGUGUAGGGCACUAAAAGAAAAAUUUGGACCAUUUUAAAGAGAUUGUGACGGGCAACGACUAUAUAGGUGUUGUAGAGGAGACAAUGGCACAUCGUUUAAGAAAAUCUCCAGAGUGAUUUAUGUUCGGAAAUCUGAAGUUACGGUUAAAAAACUGAAAAUUUUAUUGUGAAAUUGACAAAAUGAGAUUAGGGGGGUAGGGCACUAAAAGAAAAAUUUGGACCAUUUUAAAGAGAUUGUGACGGGCAACGACUAUAUAGGUGUUGUAGAGGAGACAAUGGCGCAUCGUUUAAGAAAAUUUCCAGAGUGGUUUAUGUUCGAAAAUCUGAUGUUACGGUUAAAAAACUGAAAUUGUGAAAUUGACAAAAUUAGAUUAGGGGGUAGGGCAAUUUAAGUUAAUUUUGGACCAAUUUCAAGAGAUUGUGACGGGCAACGACUAUAUAGGUGAUGUAGAGGAGAUAUUGGCACAUCGUUUAAGAAAAUCUCCAGAGUGGUUUAUGUUCGAAAAUCUGAAGUUGCGGUUAAAAAACUGAAAUUGUGAAAUUGACAAAAUUAGAUUAGGGGGUAGGCCAAUUUAAGUUAAUUUUGGACCAAUUUCAAGAGAUUGUGACGGGCAACGACUAUAUAGGUGUUGUAGAAGAGACAAUGGCGCAUCGUUUAAGAAAAUUUCCAGAGUGGUUUAUGUUCGAAAAUCUGAUGUUACGGUUAAAAAACUGAAACUUUUUUUGCGAAAUUGACAAAAUGAGAUUAGGGGGUAUGGCAAUUUAAGUUAAUUUUGGACCAAUUUCAAGAGAUUGUGACGGACAACGACUAUAAAGGUGUUGUAAAGGAGACAAUGGCGCAUUGUUUAGGAAAAUCUCCAGAGUGGUUUAUGUUCGAAAAUCUGAAGUUACGGUUAAAAAACUGAAAAUUUUAUUGUGAAAUUGACAAAAUGAGAUUAGGGGGGUAGGGCACUAAAAGAAAAAUUUGGACCAUUUUAAAGAGAUUGUGACGGGCAACGACUAUAUAGGUGUUGUAGAGGAGACAUUGGCGCAUCGUUAAGGAAAAUCUCCAGAGUGGUUUAUGUUCGAAAAUGUGAAGUUACGGUUAAAAAACUGAAAUCCUGAAAUUGACAAAAUGAGAUUAGGGGGUAGGCCAAUUUAAGUUAAUUUUUGACCAAUUUCAAGAGAUUGUGACGGGCAACGACUAUAUAGGUGUUGUAGAGGAGACAAUGGCGCAUCGUUUAAGAAAAUUUCCAGAGUGGUUUAUGUUCGAAAAUUUGAAGUUACGGUUAAAAAACUGAAAUUGUGAAAUUGACAAAAUGAGAUUAGGGGUAGGGCAAUUUAAGUUAAUUUUGGACCAAUUUCAAGAGAUUGUGACGGGCAACGACUAUAUAGGUGUUGUAGAGGAGACAUUUG